UACAGAGGGUGCUAGCGUUGUUCGGAAUCAUUGGGCGUAAAGGGCGUGUAGGCGGUUUGUUAAGUCAUGUGUGAAAUCCCUCGGCUUAACCGGGGAACUGCGUCUGAUACUGGAUGGCUUGAGGUUGGGAGAGGGAUGCGGAAUUCCAGGUGUAGCGGUGAAAUGCGUAGAUAUCUGGAGGAACACCGGUGGCGAAGGCGGCAUCCUGGACCAAUUCUGACGCUGAGGAGCGAAAGCCAGGGGAGCAAACGGG
rnacentral:rRNA from 1 species